GUGCACUGUAAGAGUCAAGUUUCUGAUGCAUGUAUGGCUGAUUCAGAUAUUCCUUCAUCUGUUGAUAAUCGUCUGGAAAACGAAACCAUUAGCCAAAUUGAGAUAUUUGAAGAUGACAACAAAGUGGAACCUACAACUAUUGUCCCCCUGAGGAAAUGCAGUACCAGCCAGGGACAGGGGCUUUUGGUGCAAGAUCAAGCAGCUGCAUCCUUUACACUGAUAAGAUGCACAAAGUCUGAUGCAGCUUCUGAUGGCAACAUGCAGACUGACUUGGAGUCAGAAGAUAAAUCAAUGUCGCCAUCAAAAAGCGGCCACGGAGUCUCACAAAGUCCUGUUGAAAAAUUAAACAUGGAAACUAUUCUUGUUCAUGAUGAAGUCUUAUUGGACAGAGUCAGCAAAGAAGAAGUUAUUUCUGGUCAUGCUAAGAUUGAGCACUCUGUAUCAAUUGAUGGCGAUGAGAUGGAAAUCGAUGGUUCUUUGGAAGCAAAUCAUGACCAGUACAUGGAGGUGACAGUGGAAGACCAGAAGCAUAAAACAGGUGACAGUAAUAUAAAUCUUCCUAACUUAUCCUCCUCGGAGGCUACUGAUUUGCUAAGAAAUUCAGACAACUCUCUCAGUCCAGAGGCGGCUGGACAAGAAGACCAUGACCAAGUACCAAGCUUAGACUCCAGUGAGGCAGAGCUUGGGGAAGAACCAGCAGUUCCAUACAACAACACCAUUGAAAUAUCAAUGGAAGACAAGAAAGAAAGCGAGAGAGAAAUUGAAACUAAUCAACAAGCCCAUGUUCAGUCCUCUGAAAGAAACAAUGCUAGAAACUCAGGUAUGGAUCUAAAUUUCAUCAUUUGGAAACCUUAACGCAAGUUUUGGACUAAGCUUCAGUCCAAUGUUAUCUUAAUCUAUUUGUCAUAAAAUGCAGGAAAGAUACGAGCUAAGAGGAGUAGAACUCGAUUAACCCAGCUACAACCUUUGAAGCCUUUUCUACUUCAUCGUUUCAAACAAAUCAGUAAAAGACGAAAACAUAGAAGAGGUUGAGUAUUGUCUUAAACCCUAGCGAAGUUUUGCUCAUUUAAUUUAAACCCACACAAGAAUUUUUUAAUUUAUUUCUGAAAGUUUAUAGUUGGUUUCUUCGUGUACUCGUGCUUUAAAAACACUUUUACUUAAAAUAAUAAAAAGAAAUAAAUAAAAGUGAAACACAUGUUAAAGAGUGGAGAGUCGGUAAAUCAACCGCCGGCCGACAAAAGUCGGGGACAUUGUCGCCGGAGGGCCUACAUCUCUCUUCAUAGCCUUUGCUAAAGAAGAAAGACUGCUCAAGCUGUGGCUCAUUUGGAAAAAAAAAUACGAAUAUUCUCUUCUCUUAUAAAUAAGACAAUUGGUGUUAGGUUGAGUACUUUAUUUUUGUUUAUUGGAGUGGAACCUUCUUUGAUUUCACAAAGAUUUUAUAAGGUGUUAAUGUAUGCUUACUUUUGGAGAUUGCUAGUACUUAGUAGCACGAUGAGUACUUAACGUGAGGGUAAUGAAAUCAUCAGAGUAACAUGACCAUGUUUUUCAAUGCUAAAAGUUAUCAUCUUUCCACUUUCUGAUUAUUUUUGUAAAUCAAGUGGGUAAAAGAUAAUUCGGACCAUUAAGGAACAUAAUAAACUAUGCAUAAAACUAUUUACGGGCGCCUAAGUAAUAAUGAUACGGAAUGAAAUAAUUUGUUAUAGUUGGAAAAAUGUGCUGAUAUUAUUUUUCCAUUUAUAGAACCAACCAAACAUCAACCUCUGUCUCUUUUUUUUGUUGCCUAAAUUCACAUACGCAGGUUACUGGAUACAACAUCGACGUUAAUAUGAAUCAUACUGCUUUCAGGAAUAUGAUAGCCAAGAUUUUAAAGAAGAAGCGGUUUCACAAAGAAGCUGUCAAGGUUGAGUUACUUUCUUCUAGUGACACCUUUGGUCUCGAACAGCCCGUGUCUGUAGAUUUCAUGAAAUGGGAUCCCAUCUCAAGUGGCGAAGGUGACAUGCUCUUGGAAGAUCUCGCAAAGGCUUUUGAUGCCACCACAUGUGCUGUGUCGAAUAAGUCCUCUAAGGCGAUUGAUGUCACCUCUGAUCGUAAAGGCUUGCCAUCACAUGGUUUCCGGCUCAAUGGUAUUCUUGGAAGUGAACCUUCGACCCAGCCACCUGCAGCUAAGAUGAUUGACGAAGCACCGGUGCACUGUAAGAGUCAAGUUUCUGAUGCAUGUAUGGCUGAUUCAGAUAUUCCUUCAUCUGUUGAUAAUCGUCUGGAAAACGAAACCAUUAGCCAAAUUGAGAUAUUUGAAGAUGACAACAAAGUGGAACCUACAACUAUUGUCCCCCUGAGGAAAUGCAGUACCAGCCAGGGACAGGGGCUUUUGGUGCAAGAUCAAGCAGCUGCAUCCUUUACACUGAUAAGAUGCACAAAGUCUGAUGCAGCUUCUGAUGGCAACAUGCAGACUGAC
rnacentral:lncRNA from 1 species